CGAGUCUUCCCGGCGAGGAGGGCUUGCCAGGGGCUGCGAGUCUUCCCGGCAAGGAGGGCUUGCCGGGGCCAUGUAGCCGGGGCUGGCUCUUCACACCUUCGGUGGGGUGUGGCCUUGGCGAGCCUGGGUUAUCUUCCUGUCGGUCCUUCUUCGUGUAUUGCCGCCAAGGGUGCUGGUGGUGCCCGUGCACAAGUCUANN
rnacentral:lncRNA from 1 species